rnacentral:rRNA from 1 species
GACGAACGCUGGCGGCGUGCCUAAUACAUGCAAGUCGAACGCAGUGGGGACGGGUGAGUAACACGUGGGUAACCUCCCAUCAGAGGGGAUAACACUUGGAAACAGGUGCUAAACCGAUACUGAUGGAUGGACCCGGGGUGCAUUAGCUAGUUGGUGAGGUAACGGCUCACCAAGGCCACGCUGCAUAGCCGACCUGAGAGGAGGAUAAGCCACACUGGAACUGAGACACGGCCCAGACUCCUACGGGAGGCAGCAGUGGGGAAUGUUCGGCAAUGGACGAAAGGCUGACCGAGCCACGGCGCGUGAGUGAAGAAGGUUUUCGGAUCGUAAAACUCUGUUGUUAGAGAAGCGGUAUCUAACCAGAAAGCCACGGCUAACUACGGGCCAGCAGCCGCGGUAAUAC